rnacentral:rRNA from 1 species
AUUGAACGCUGGCGGCAUGCCUUACACAUGCAAGUCAAACGGUAGAGGGGGCAACCCCUCGAGAGUGGCGAACGGGUGAGUAAAGCAUCGGAACGUGCCCAGUAGUGGGGGAUAGCCCGGCGAAAGCCGGAUUAAUACCGCAUGAGACCUACGGGUGAAAGGGGGGGAUCGCAAGACCUCUCGCUAUUGGAGCGGCCGAUGUCAGAUUAGGUAGUUGGUGGGGUAAAGGCCUACCAAGCCGACGAUCUGUAGCUGGUCUGAGAGGACGACCAGCCACACUGGGACUGAGACACGGCCCAGACUCCUACGGGAGGCAGCAGUGGGGAAUUUUGGACAAUGGGCGAAAGCCUGAUCCAGCCAUGCCGCGUGCGGGAAGAAGGCCUUCGGGUUGUAAACCGCUUUUGUCAGGGAAGAAAUCCUUUGAGUUAAUACCUCGGGGGGAUGACGGUACCUGAAGAAUAAGCACCGGCUAACUACGUGCCAGCCGCCGCAGUAAUAC